GACGAACGCUGGCGGCGUGCUUAACACAUGCAAGUCGAACGGAAAGGCCCUGCUUUUGUGGGGUGCUCGAGUGGCGAACGGGUGAGUAACACGUGAGUAACCUGCCCUUGACUUUGGGAUAACUUCAGGAAACUGGGGCUAAUACCGGAUAGGAGCUCCUGCUGCAUGGUGGGGGUUGGAAAGUUUCGGCGGUUGGGGAUGGACUCGCGGCUUAUCAGCUUGUUGGUGGGGUAGUGGCUUACCAAGGCUUUGACGGGUAGCCGGCCUGAGAGGGUGACCGGCCACAUUGGGACUGAGAUACGGCCCAGACUCCUACGGGAGGCAGCAGUGGGGAAUAUUGCACAAUGGGCGGAAGCCUGAUGCAGCAACGCCGCGUGCGGGAUGACGGCCUUCGGGUUGUAAACCGCUUUCGCCUGUGACGAAGCGUGAGUGACGGUAAUGGGUAAAGAAGCACCGGCUAACUACGUGCCAGCAGCCGCGGUGAUACGUAGGGUGCGAGCGUUGUCCGGAUUUAUUGGGCGUAAAGGGCUCGUAGGUGGUUGAUCGCGUCGGAAGUGUAAUCUUGGGGCUUAACCCUGAGCGUGCUUUCGAUACGGGUUGACUUGAGGAAGGUAGGGGAGAAUGGAAUUCCUGGUGGAGCGGUGGAAUGCGCAGAUAUCAGGAGGAACACCAGUGGCGAAGGCGGUUCUCUGGGCCUUUCCUGACGCUGAGGAGCGAAAGCGUGGGGAGCGAACAGGCUUAGAUACCCUGGUAGUCCACGCUGUAAACGGUGGGUACUAGGUGUGGGGUCCAUUCCACGGGUUCCGUGCCGUAGCUAACGCUUUAAGUACCCCGCCUGGGGAGUACGGCCGCAAGGCUAAAACUCAAAGGAAUUGACGGGGCCCCGCACAAGCGGCGGAGCAUGCGGAUUAAUUCGAUGCAACGCGUAGAACCUUACCUGGGUUUGACAUGGAUCGGGAGCGCUCAGAGAUGGGUGUGCCUCUUUUGGGGUCGGUUCACAGGUGGUGCAUGGCUGUCGUCAGCUCGUGUCGUGAGAUGUUGGGUUAAGUCCCGCAACGAGCGCAACCCUUGUUCACUGUUGCCAGCACGUUAUGGUGGGGACUCAGUGGAGACCGCCGGGGUCAACUCGGAGGAGGGUGGGGAUGACGUCAAGUCAUCAUGCCCCUUAUGUCCAGGGCUUCACGCAUGCUACAAUGGCUGGUACAGAGAGUGGCGAGCCUGUGAGGGUGAGCGAAUCUCGGAAAGCCGGUCUCAGUUCGGAUUGGGGUCUGCAACUCGACCUCAUGAAGUCGGAGUCGCUAGUAAUCGCAGAUCAGCAACGCUGCGGUGAAUACGUUCCCGGG
rnacentral:rRNA from 1 species